rnacentral:rRNA from 1 species
UACGUAGGUGGCAAGCGCUGUCCGGAUUUACUGGGCGUAAAGAGCGCGCAGGCGGUCGUGCAAGUCGCGUGUGAAAGCCCCCGGCUCAACUGGGGAGGGUCACGCGAUACUGCUCGACUCGAAGGCAGGAGAGGGAAGUGGAAUUCCCGGUGUAGCGGUGAAAUGCGCAGAUAUCGGGAGGAACACCUGUGGCGAAGGCGACCCCCUGGUUGGAUACUGACGCUGAGACGCGAAAGCGUGGGGAGCAAACAGG